AAAAAUGAAGUGCUCUAAACCACAAAAACCCAGACCCAAUAUUUAAUCCAGAGAACCCAAAGACAAAAGGCUGACCAGAAAAAAAAGAUAAUUUAAAUUUAAAACGUAUUUUAGGGUUUUCUUUACAGCGAAAAUGGCGCUUCUUAGAACGACAACGAACAUGAUUCUCAGACACAUCCUUCAACCAUACCUGUCAUUUCCUCCAUCAAUCCGUACGACUCUGCUUCGCUCCUCCAAUGGCGGAAUCAGAAUCGGCAGUGUCCGGUGCGCCGCGUCGAAUUCGGGAAGUGGCGGGAACAAGGUGUCGGCUCGGCUCUCUCAGGUCAACCAGCUCUUGCAAGCAGCCGAGGAGCGAGCUCUCUCCGCUGACACCCAGCCCCCUCCUAAGAUCACUUUAGACCAUGUAACUGUGAGUUUUGCAAGAAGUGGGGGACCUGGAGGUCAGAAUGUCAACAAAGUGAAUACCAAGGUGGACAUGCGCUUCAAUGUACAAAAGGCGUAUUGGCUAAGCGAAUGGAUCAGGGAGAGGAUUUUGCAAAUGGAGAAGAAUCGGAUUAACAAGGAUGGGGAGCUUGUGAUUUCUUCCACAAAGACUCGAACACAAAAGGGUAACAUUGAAGAUGCUCUUGAAAAACUCCAGGCAAUCAUUGAUGCUGCUUCUUAUGUCCCACCUCCUCCCUCAGAAGAGCAAAAGAAGAAGAUUGCUAAAAUGGCUGCUAUUGGCGAACAAAAACGCCUUAAGAGCAAGAAGGUUCUUUCAGACAAAAAAUCAUUCAGAAGAAGUCGAGACAGUUGGGACUGACCUACUCUACGUAUGGUCAGACUCACAGUUUGUUGAGAAUUUUUGUAUAUGUCGAGGAGAGGUCGAUGCAUUUGCGAUUCCAUGAUCAUAUGGAGAAACAGUUCAAGUGAUGGAAUUUUAUCACACCUUGGAUUCAAGAGCAGACUGCUGAAAAUACCAAUUGUUGGACAGAAUUAGUUCUUUUGAUGUAAAAUGACCAUAUGUCUAUAGGCUUUCAAACAGAAAACAUGAUGACUGUUACUGGAUGUACACAGAUCAACUAAUAGCUGCUCUGAAGAUAACUCUUUUGUCACAUUGUAUGACAUUCUCAAUGUUUAGCGCUUUCUAUUGGCAU